rnacentral:sRNA from 1 species
GGACGUGAGGGUGACAUGACAGCAAUAUCUGUCACCAAUUGAUCCCCAGGGUUGGUUUGGCUGAUCUGGCUGGCUAAGCAGGUGUCCCCUUCCUCACUGCUCCAUGUGUAUCCCUCCCAAAGAUGUGCACUUGGUCAAUGAGAAUGACCUUCCCUGAUAGAGGAAGAACCUUCUUCAGUCAAGGGUAUAUGGGUA